GAUGAAGUACAAGGGACAGAGA
rnacentral:piRNA from 1 species